rnacentral:rRNA from 1 species
UACGGAGGGUGCAAGCGUUAUCCGGAUUCACUGGGUUUAAAGGGUGCGUAGGUGGAUUAGUAAGUCAGUGGUGAAAUCUCCGGGCUUAACCCGGAAACUGCCACUGAUACUAUUAGUCUUGAAUACCGUGGAGGUCAGCGGAAUAUGUCAUGUAGCGGUGAAAUGCUUAGAUAUGACAUAGAACACCAAUUGCGAAGGCAGCUGGCUACACGAGCAUUGACACUCAGGCACGAAAGCGUGGGGAUCAAACAGG